UGGAAAUUAAGUGUAAAUAUAAAUAUAUAUAUAUUUAUAUAUUAAAUAGUUUUAUUAAAUUAAUUAAAGAAAAGAAAGAAAAGAAAGGACAAAAAGAAGAAAAGGAGAAGAAAAUUUCAUUUUCUCUUUUCUUCUUCUUCUUCUUCUCUUCCCUUCACCGCCAAGAGUUUGAAGACAUCCAAGUUCCCUUUAUUUUUUUUUCUUUUUCCUUCUUCAAUUUGCGGAGAACUUCUAAGAGAGAGUUUGGAAGAAGAAGAGAAAUUUUACUAGAAUUUUUAGGUUGAAGAAGAGGAGGAGAACUCAAGCAAAGUGUAUCAAUGGCUGAAUUUUAGUUCAUUCUGCACAUCACUGGUUUUUAAUUCGGUUUGAACUCUUCAAAAGGAAUUAAGAGGGCAGUUGGUUUUCACUCGAAAUCAGGAGGUCUCUGGUUUUUCUUGUAUUUCAGAGUGUAUCGGUGGAGUUAGAAUCUCUAUUUGGUAUGGUUGGAAAGCUUAUUCAAUUUACUACAACGUUCAUGAAGAAAUUGUAAACCAAAAACGACUAAAAAUUGGUUAAAUUGUAGGAACAAGUUAAAGAGGUCGUGUGCGCGCGAUUCUGGAAGUGGUUCUGUUUUGAGGGUUAUAUGUGUUUAUGCACGGGGAAUCAGAUUUAUAUGUCUUCAGGUAAGUUUUAGAGGAUCUCAAAAUGAAGAGUUUGAUAUAAAGAACACUCAUUUUGGUUAAGUAUUGAGAAAGUUAUAGUCCUUUGAAGUUUAUGUUAGAAAUCUGGAAAUUUUAGAGAAUUGUUGAAAUAGGAUUUUAUUUCUUAAGCUUUGUUUUCGUGAGCGUCAUCUUUGGUGCGACAUGUUAUGUAUAUCUUUAGGAAACCAGAAUGUUUAGGGUUUUAAUACUCGGUUGGGUUGUUGGCAGGCCGAGAAGAAUUAAACCGAGCUUAUAGACCAAGGAUCUAGCCCAAGACUGUGAGUGACAAAACCAACUUUGAAAUAUUUUCCAUAACUGUUAUUAUGAUUGAAUGCGAUAAAUGUUUAUUUACGAAGCCAUGAAAGGUAUUUGAAUUUCAUGACUAUUUUCAAGUAUACAUUUGGAGACUAGAUUUCUUAAAGAAAUUUAUGCUAGCACGUAGAUAUUAAAUGUUUGGAAAGUAUUUAAACCACAAUAUUUUAAGCAAAGCAUGAAUUGGUAUGAAGUUUUGUUUUAAGAACUACAAUUUUCCACGAAAGAGCUGAGUAAAGUUCGAGCUUUGUGUAAAAUUUAUAAGCAGGCAUGUUUUAAUAUUUUAUGAUGAUUUAUGAAAUUUUCAUUAACUACAUGACUGAGAUCUUGAGCCUGAGGCUAGAGAUUACCGUGUGCACACUGGUUAGAUUUCGUUGUUGACGUUGAGUGUACUCCGUAACAACGAUGCUGUCGUGAAUGCUGGGCGGGCCCCACUACGACAAAGACGAUGGGAGUGCUGGGCGGGCCCCACUACAUCGUAGUGCUUGUAAACGUUGUUGUACUAGGUGUACCCUACAUAACGUAGAUUCGUCAUGUUAGUUAAAAUGCUUCGAUAUACUUGAUAUGCCUUGCUAGAUUUCAAUGAUGAACAUGCUGAGUAUUUAAGGAUGCUAUUCUUACUAUUACACAUUUACAUUUACGACUUGUAUAAACAGAUUUAUAUGUGUAAAGUUUUCACGUGCUCUUAUCUUUAAAUUCAUAGUUUUAAACUGAGUCACUCACUGAGCUUCAUAGCUCACCCUUUCCAAAAUGUUUUACCCAUUUUCCAGGUAGAGAUCGACUUCCCGGUGCCUGAUAGACUGCCUUAGUCUGCGGAAGCUUCAUUAUCGAUUGCCAGUACGUGUUUUGAGUUGGGCAUAAAGUCUGUUGUGUUGUGAUGUAUUCACACCCUUGUAUGUUAUAGAUACUCCACAGUUUGUAUAAGCUUUAGGAGCUGUAGUUUUGUAAAUUUUGUUGGUUAUAUUUUGAUUAAGGUGUCUUUAGGUUUACUCGUGAAAUCGGUAAAUUUUGAGGUACACUUCAUGUAUGUGUUUGACUAGCUGUGUUUGACUAGCCUAGGAUCCGCUGUGUUUUGUGGCAUGUAAAUAGUUUAUAUACUAGAUUGGCAAGUUCAUCA